AGGGCUAUAGCUCAGUUAGGUAGAGCACCUCGACGCGCGCGAGAAAGUCUACGGUUCGAAUCCGUAUAGCCCUA
rnacentral:tRNA from 1 species